ACGUCUAGCGCCCGCGGGCCUGACUGGCGUGAUAGACGACGCUUUCCGCACUUCAGGGCGUAGCGCGCGCCUCACAACGCUAACCUGAAAGGUGAAGCUCUGAAGAACUUUGCCCCGGGUUUCCCGGUCUAAGGAGAGGAAAGGGCCCCAGAGAACCAUGAAACUGCCCAAGCCGGCGGGGCCGAAUAUUCCAUCAGGAGUCCAAGGCGGGCGAGGGCCGGGCCUCCGACGGAGAACGGCGGCUCCUGGGACUCCCGAGACCCGAGGCCGGGAGUGGCCCGUCCGAGGGGGCGGCUCGGCCGCGGAGGGGCCCAGGCCCCGGCCACUCCGGCCCGGUCCCCGCGCGGCCUCCGGCCGGUCCCCCCGCGUUUUCUCCUCCCGGUUGUUUGCACCGUCCCUUCCGCGAGUAAAUGACACCCACGGCCCCGUGACAGUGACCGGGAGGCGUGCACGCGCUGGACCCGGGCUGGGCCGGAGCUGCGGACCCGAGAGGCCGCCGGGGCUCGAGGCGGCGAGGCUUCCAGCAGGUGUGACUGAGGAUUACAUUUCACUGAGGAUUAAGGUAGAAGAUUGAGGCUUAAAAACAGCAUUGGAGGGCUUCCCUGGUGGCGCAGUGGUUGAGAGUCCGCCUGCCGAUGCAGGGGACACGGGUUCGUGCCCCGGUCCGGGAAGAUCCCACGUGCCGUGGAGCGGCUGGGCCCGUGAACCAUGGCUGCUGAGCCUGCGCGUCCGGAGCCUGUGCUCCGCAACGGGAGAGGCCACAACGAUGUCACAUAAAAAUGUGCAAAUGGGGCUUCCCUGGUGGCACAGUGGUUAAGAAUCUGCCUGCCAAGGCGGGGGAUGCGGAUUCGAGCUCUGGUCUGGAAAGAUCCCACAUGCCACGGAGUAACUAAGCCCAUGAGAUGCAACUACUGAGCCUGUGCUCUAGAGCCUGUGAGCCACAGCUACUGAAGCCCACGCGCCUGGAGCCCGUGCUCCACAAGAGAAGCCACUGCAAUGAGAAGCCCGCACACAGCAGCAAGGAGUAGCCCCCGCUUGCCAGAACUAGAGAAAGCCCACACGCAGCAACAAAGACCCAACGCAGCCAAAAAUAAAUAAAUAAAUAAAUAAAAUAAAAAAUUUUUAAAUGUACAAAUGGAUAAAAAAAUUUUCAGAAUUCUUUUGAAGUACAGCUAAGAAAAGAUGUUGGCUAUAAGCCACAGUGCAGAGCGUCAGCAAUAGGAUGUAAAGGCACUUUUGUUUCAACAUGAAGAUGACAUAAAGGGGGAGAAGAGGUGAAGGACUUGUGACUUUAUUAUAUCCUCCCCACCCCCAUUCUAGGAUAUCCUAGGGGCCAAAGUCCCAGUGGGGAGUAAGUAGGGAAAUGCAAGAAACAAGCUAAUAAGUUUGGGAGAAUCAAGAGACUUGUUCCUUGCCUUCUAGGAGGCAGUAAGUAGCUCAGGAAGAGUCAAGCAUCAUAGUCCCACAACAUGAGUUGACCACAGUGCAGUAAAAGUGCAUUAGGGGGAGAGAGGACCCGAGAGACCACCACCUUGACUCCCCAUGUCUGAUGAGUGGUAUAGCAGACCUUCCCAAGUUCUCAUCUGGCCCUCUGGGGAUAAGGAAGUUAUAGAAAACAAUUAUGUUUUUGUAUUAAAAAAAUUAGACUGUUAUGCAUCCAUCUUAUGGAAUACUCUGCAAUAAAAAGAAAUGAACUGUCUUCGACAUUCACAACAAACCUGGAUGAACUGCCAGGAAAUGAGACAGUGUAAAAAGCCAAUCUCAAGAGAAUACAUACUACAUGACUUACUUUAUGUAACAGUUGUGAAAUAACAAUCAGAGUGACAGAAAGCAGAUCAGUGGUUGCCAGGGGUGAGGGAAGCAGGGAGAGAGUCGGCAUGGAUAUGAAGGUGGUGGCUUGAGGGAGCCUUGUGGUAAUGGUACCACUGUCCUGAUUGUGGUGGUUACAUGAAGCUACACAUGUGAUAAAACUGUGAAGAGCUACACACACUCUGGUAAACACGUAUAACUAGCGUAACUGAAUAACCUCUGUGGAUUGAGCCAAUGUCAGUUUCAUAGAUUUGAUAUACUAGUUAUGCAGGAUGCUAACCCUGGAGAAACCUAGGUGAAGGGUGCACAAGGACCUCCCUGUACAUUACAUUGCAGCUUCUAUCAUCUAUAAUGAUUUCCAAAUAAAAAGUUAACCAAUAUUAGGGAGAGUGGGGCAUUAGGUUGGUAACUUACUUUCAGAUGGUUUUCAGGGGAAAAAAAAGUUUUUUGUAUUGUAGUUGCAGUUUUGCUUUACAUUUAAUUUCAAAAAUAUAAAAAAUUAUUUUUAAAAAGCUUUUUUAGGAUUAUCUAUUUUUAAAUAUUAAUCAGCCUUUUUCUCCAUUCCACUAAAGUGAAUAAUUGGAAAUUUGGUUCUAGAUAUGUCUACUGUUUCUUAACUGCUCUACUGUUUCUUAACUGCUCUGUCUCUGACACUGGGGUGAGGCGGGGGGACCCCAUCCAGAUUAAGCACCCACCUUGCCA